AUAAAAAUCUUGAUGAGGACACUUCCCCCAAACCUACAAGUUUUCUUCCUUCAAUGGCUGAAAUAAAACUCCAUAAGAAUGGAACGUAUCUUUGUCUUCUUGAGAAUUUUUACCCUGAUGUUAUCAAGAUAGACUGGAAAGAGAAAAAUGGCAAAACAGUUCUGGACUCCCUGCAGGGAAACACCAUGAAGACUAAGGACACGUACAUGAAAUACACCUGGCUGACCGUGCCAGAAAAGUCCAUGGAUAAAGAACACAAAUGUAUCGUGAAACAUGAGAAGAAUAAAGGAAGGGUUGAUCAAGAGAUUAUUUUUCAUUCAGUGAACAAAG